GAUGAACGCUAGCUACAGGCUUAACACAUGCAAGUCGAGGGGAAACGACAUCGAAAGCUUGCUUUUGAUGGGCGUCGACCGGCGCACGGGUGAGUAACGCGUAUCCAACCUGCCCACCACUUGGGGAUAACCUUGCGAAAGUAAGACUAAUACCCAAUGAUAUCUCUAGAAGACAUCUGAAAGGGAUUAAAGAUUUAUCGGUGAUGGAUGGGGAUGCGUCUGAUUAGCUUGUUGGCGGGGUAACGGCCCACCAAGGCGACGAUCAGUAGGGGUUCUGAGAGGAAGGUCCCCCCCAUUGGAACUGAGACACGGUCCAAACUCCUACGGGAGGCAGCAGUGAGGAAUACUGGUCAAUGGGCGAGAGCCUGAACCAGCCAAGUAGCGUGCAGGAUGACGGCCCUAUGGGUUGUAAACUGCUUUUAUAAGGGAAUAAAGUGGGAGUCGUGACUCUUUUUGCAUGUACCUUAUGAAUAAGGACCGGCUAAUUCCGUGCCAGCCGCCGCCGUAA
rnacentral:rRNA from 1 species